GACGGAAGGUGCAAGCGUUGCUCGGAAUCACUGGGCGUAAAGCGCACGUAGGCGGCUUCUUAAGUCAGGGGUGAAAUCCUGGAGCUCAACUCCAGAACUGCCUUUGAUACUGAGGAGCUUGAGUCCGGGAGAGGUGAGUGGAACUGCGAGUGUAGAGGUGAAAUUCGUAGAUAUUCGCAAGAACACCAGUGGCGAAGGCGGCUCACUGGCCCGGUACUGACGCUGAGGUGCGAAAGCGUGGGGAGCAAACAGG
rnacentral:rRNA from 1 species